rnacentral:rRNA from 1 species
CUCGGAUCAGGUAGGGAUACCC